rnacentral:ribozyme from 1 species
UGCACAAGAUAAACUAACAAGCAACUCAAUAACCCAGAUGAGAAAUGCGUGGUUUUAAUUUCUCUCAUAUUUAAUUUUAUUUUUCUUCUUUUUUGGUU